rnacentral:rRNA from 1 species
UACGUAGGGGGCAAGCGUUGUCCGGAAUUAUUGGGCGUAAAGAGCGUGUAGGCGGUCCGGUAAGUCCGCUGUGAAAGUCGGGGGCUCAACCCUCGAAUGCCGGUGGAUACUGUCGGGCUAGAGUGCGGAAGAGGCGAGUGGAAUUCCUGGUGUAGCGGUGAAAUGCGCAGAUAUCAGGAGGAACACCGAUUGCGAAGGCAGCUCGCUGGGACGUAACUGACGCUGAGACGCGAAAGCGUGGGGAGCAAACAGG